UAUAAGAACCGCUGCUCCAGGAAUAACAUGAGCCAGUGCGUUCAAGACCUGUGUUUCACGAUUGCAUCACCUGUUAUCGCACUUUGUACUUUUUAUCGUGCAGAACCAAAGUCCGGUGUAAAGUUGUUUAUAAGUUUUUAGCUUGUACCUCUUAAUUUGAAUCCUUGUAAAUAUGAUUGGAUACCAGCCUAGCCGACUUAGCUAGGUUAACUCCGAAGACCUAUCCCAUAUCUUUGGCAAUCCCUCAAACGCUAAACAGUAAAACAGUUCACGUAACUAGACAUUGCUAAGCAUACUCAAAUUAUUUAAUGAUCCUUCUUUCCGUAGGUGAACCUGCGGAAGGAUCAUUAAAUAAUUUGAGUAUGCUUAUGCAUAUUUCUAAUUUACUGUGAACUGUUUUACUGUUUAGCGUUUUGAGGGAUUGCCUAAAGAUUAUAGGGAUAGGUCUUCAGGAUGUUAACCUAGCUAAAGUCAGGCUUAGGCCUGGUAUCCUAAUUCAUUAUUUGUGAAUCAUCGAGUCUUUGAACGCAUCUUGCGCUCAAUGGUAUUCCAUUGAGCACGCCUGUUUCAGUAUCAACAACAACCCACAUCCACAAUUUUGUUGUGAAUGGAAGUGAGAGUAUCGAUGUAAAAAUUGAACUCUUUAAAACUAUUAGGCCUGAACUAUUGUUCUAUUAGCCUGAACAUUUUUUUAAUAUAAAGGAAUGCUCUAGUUAAAAGACUAUCUUGGGGGCCUCCCAAAUAAAUCAUUUUUUUAAACUUGAUCUGAAAUCAGGUGGGAUUACCCGCUGAACUUAAGCAUAUCAAUAAGCGGAGGAAGGAAGGAUCAUUAAAUAAUUGGAGUAUACUUAUCCAUAUUUUGAUUCACGGUGAAUGUUUUACUGUCAAGCGUUGUGAGGGAUGCCAAAGAUAAGGGAUAGGUCUCAGAAUUACCUAGCUAGUCAGCUAGGCUGGUUCCAAUAAUAUUACAAAAAAUCAAAAUAAAA
rnacentral:rRNA from 1 species